UCUACCUACAUCCUACCGCAAUGACGCAUUGCGGUGAGGAAGUGUUCUCUUAACAUGACUAUACUAUUUUACAUCAACAUAAUAUCCGUUAUAUCUUAUAAUCUAUAAUAUGACACAGUCACACACUACACAACAUAACAUUACAAUUUACAACAAAAUCUGCUGUCUACAAAAAUACAAUUCUUAAAACUUUCUUCUAUUUGUAAUCAUCUCUCAGACUUUGGCGAAUAUGUUUCAUGAAGCUUUAGCUGUCAUAUUUGUUGAUGUUUUUAAUCGUCUACGAUUUCCUACGAGUGGAAAUGAAAAUGGACACGAACAAGCUCCGAUACAACCAUACAAAAUGUAUACUGAAUAUAUAAAUAUAUAACUUAUUUUUCUUUAUUUAUUUCAUUAUAUAUAUUGCAUGUACAUGAUGUAAAAAAAGUGUGAAAAAACGUUUUUUUAAGAAUAAUUCACAAUGACUUCAUCAAAACACAUAUAAAAGUAUAUUGUGUUACCAGAUAUGCCUCCCAGUUGUGACGUCAUUGCAUAAAUCUGCAUAUCACAUUAUAUUCAAAACAAAUCAAAAUGGCCGCGGAACUUUUAAAUUGGAGUCAGAAAAACCUUUGUUACAUGAAGACAAAAACUUUGGUUGAACUAACAAAGUUUACUUUAGUAACACAACAGAACAGCGACUGCAGUCAAGGAAAACCUUGUUCAUAUGUUAUGAUAAUAAUGGUGGCAGGAUAAGUAA